CAGUAGCCGCGGGAACACGUAGGGUGCAAGCGUUAAUCGGAAUUACUGGGCGUAAAGCGUGCGCAGGCGGUUAUAUAAGACAGAUGUGAAAUCCCCGGGCUCAACCUGGGAACUGCAUUUGUGACUGUAUAGCUAGAGUACGGCAGAGGGGGAUGGAAUUCCGCGUGUAGCAGUGAAAUGCGUAGAUAUGCGGAGGAACACCGAUGGCGAAGGCAAUCCCCUGGGCCUGUACUGACGCUCAUGCACGAAAGCGUGGGGAGCAAACAGGAUUAGAUACCCGGGUAGUCCCUGUCUCUUAUAC
rnacentral:rRNA from 1 species